AAGACAUUAGUAAAGUGUAUUACACCAUCUUGUCAAGAUGGAAUCACAGGUUAAAGUCCUGUAUGUUUUA
rnacentral:tRNA from 1 species